CGACCAAACCAGUCAGUGGUGAGCGGACAACCGGCAAGUCAGUACGUCAAACAAGUCAAACAUGAAGCUUCUAUUAUUCUUAUUUGCCGUCAUGGCGGCUUCCAAAGCUGAAACUAAUGAGCUAUUAAAGCAAGCUAAUCAACAAAUUACAGCAAAAUUGUUCACAGAAGUAGUCAAACAGCAUCCAAAAGAGAGUGUUGUCUUAUCAGCGUUCUCAGUUCUGACUCCCCUUGCCCAGCUGAGCUUGGCGUCGGAUGGUGAGUCCCACGAUGAACUCCUCAAGGCUAUCGGGAUGCCCAAUGAUGACACUACAAAAACAGUAUUUUCGUCUUUGACCAAAGACGUACGAAGCGUAAAGGGUGUAGAACUGAAAGUAGCCAGUAAAGUGUACAUUCCUACUAACUUCGAGUUGAAUGACCAGUUUUUAGCUGUAACUAAAGAUGUUUUCGAUUCCGAAGUUCAGAAUAUAGAUUUCCUGAAAAAUGAUGAUGCUGCAAAAACUAUUAACACAUGGGUUGAAGAUCACACCAACAACCGCAUCAAGGACUUAGUCGAACCUAGCUCUUUUGACAGCAACACCCGGGCUGUUCUGGUCAACGCUAUAUAUUUCAAGGGAAGCUGGAAGGAAAAGUUCAACAAAAACCACACCCAAAAUAGAAAAUUCUACGUCUCCAAGGACCAAUCUGUUGAUAUUCCGUUCAUGUACAAGAAAGAUCAUUUCUUAUAUGGAGAGAGCGAAGAACUAAAUGCACAGCUAUUGCAACUCCCAUAUGAAGGUGAUGAGGCAUCCUUCUUAGUUGUGCUACCAAGGGACGUUGACGGUCUACCCGCUUUGGAAGAAAAGCUAAAGAACCCGUCCCUUCUUGAAAACGCUGUCCAAAACAUGAGGAGCGUAGAGGUUGUUGUCUACCUUCCAAAAUUCAAAAUCGAAACCACGACAAACCUGAAAGAUGCUCUCGAAAAUAUGGAUGUUACCAAAAUUUUCUCAUCUGAAGCUAAUUUGAAUCGCCUUCUUAAAGGACAAGGAGACUUAUUCGUAAGUGAUGCCAAACAGAAGGCCUUCAUAGAAGUAAACGAAGACGGUGCUGAAGCCGCAGCUGCCAACGCUUUUGUGGCCGAGACUACCAGCUUAGUAAUUAGCGAACCUCUUCAGUUUAAUGCUGACAAACCCUUCUACUUUGAACUAAGGCAUCAUAACAAGCCUCUAUUUAAUGGAGUGUAUGUCCAAUAAAGUUAACAAUAAAUACCUCAACCGAAGUUUGGCAUAGCAUACUUAUCUGCCAGUAUAAGUAGUCCAUUGACAUUCGAGGCAAAUCACCCAUUUGCAUUCUUUUUAAGAAAUGGCGAAACAACUUUAUUUAAUGGUGUCUACAUAUCUUAGGUUAUUCUUUAAGACAAACGAGACGUAAAGACAGACAUCUUAAUCUAAAAAUUUUGACGUUAAUAAAAAUGAGUCUGCAAUUGA